CAUUCAAGAAAAAUAGAUGUAUCAGAGUAUUUUUCAAAAAGUAUCAAAAUGAAAGUAAAGAUAGAUAUAUCAGAGUAAAAAAAUUUAAAAAGUUCAGAUAAAGAUAAACAGGACCACACUACUUUCUCUCUCUUUUUGACAUCAUCAAAAAUAGACUAGAGAGAGUAAGAUUUUUAAUAGUUGUAUAUUAGGUAUCAGAGUAAUAGUGUGCAGUCAUCAAAAUGUAACAGUCAUUCAUUCAUUCAAAAAUAGUGGGCCAUACAAAGUGAUAAUAAAGGAUAACCUCAUUCAUUAAUUACAACAAAAAGAGAGGUUACAAGACUCAUAAUAUAUAUCUUUGAGCAUAAAGCUCUCAUACAUUCAACAAAAUACAACAACUAAGUAACCUAAAAAGUCUAGUACAAAAUGAUC
rnacentral:lncRNA from 1 species